rnacentral:rRNA from 1 species
AACAUCGCCUCCUGCAAAAAUCAAUGUAUAGGAGGUCCUGCCUGCCCAGUGACAACUUGUUAAACGGCCGCGGUAUUUUGACCGUGCUAAGGUAGCGCAAUCACUUGUCUUUUAAAUGAAGACCUGUAUGAAUGGUGGAACGAGGGCUUAACUGUCUCCCUUCUCCCGUCAAUGAAAUUGAUCUGCCCGUGCAGAAGCGGACAUAUAUAUACAAGACGAGAAGACCCUUUGGAGCUUAUUGGGGCGACCGCGGGGGAAAAUAAAGCCCCCACGUAAAACCGAGAGAGACAUCUCUAAGCCACAGAAUAUCUGACCAAAAGAUCCGGCCCACAAGCCGAUCAACGAACCAAGUUACCCUAGGGAUAACAGCGCAAUCCUUUCCAAGAGUCCAUAUCGACGAAAGGGUUUACGACCUCGAUGUUGGAUCAGGACAUCCUAAUGGUGCAGCCGCUAUUAAGGGUUCGUUUGUUCAACGAUUAAAGUCCUACGUGAUCU